rnacentral:rRNA from 1 species
GACAGAGGGUGCAAGCGUUGUCCGGAUUUAUUGGGCGUAAAGCGCCCGCAGGCGGCUCGAUGCGUCGUGCGUGAAACACCCCGGCUCAACUGGGGAGGGUCGUGCGAUACGGUCGGGCUUGAGGCCAGCAGGGGGAUGCGGAAUUCCGGGUGUAGUGGUGGAAUGCGUAGAGAUCCGGAGGAACACCAGCGGCGAAGGCGGCAUCCUGGACUGGUACUGACGCUCAGGAGCGAAAGCGUGGGGAGCGAUCCGG